rnacentral:rRNA from 1 species
AGUGAACGCUGGCGGUAGGCCUAACACAUGCAAGUCGAACGGCAGUACAGUAAGAGCUUGCUCUUACGGGUGGCGAGUGGCGGACGGGAGAGGAAUACAUCGGAAUCUACUUUUUCGUGGGGGAUAACGUAGGGAAACUUACGCUAAUACCGCAUACGACCUACGGUUGAAAGCAGGGGAUCUUCGGACCUUGCGCGAUUGAAUGAGCCGAUGUCGGAUUAGCUAGUUGGCGGGGUAAAGGCCCAGCAAGGCGACGAUCCGUAGCCGGUCUGAGAGGAUGAUCGGCCACACUGGAGCUGGGACACGGUCCAGACUCCUACGGGAGGCAGCAGUGGGGAAUAUUGGACAGUAGGCGCAAGCCUGAUACAGCCAGACCGAGUGGGUGAAGAAGGCCUUCGGGUUGUAAAGACCUUUUGUUGGGAAAGAAAAGCAGCAGGUUAAUACCCAGCUGUUCUGACGGUACCCAAAGAAUAAGCACCGGCUAACUUCGUG